rnacentral:rRNA from 1 species
UACGGAGGGGGCUAGCGUUGUUCGGAAUGACUGGGCGUAAAGCGCGCGUAGGCGGGCUGGGAAGUCAGGGGUGAAAUCCCGGGGCUCAACCUCGGAAUUGCCUUUGAAACUCCCAGUCUUGAGUUCGAGAGAGGUGGGUGGAAUUCCGAGUGUAGAGGUGAAAUUCGUAGAUAUUCGGAGGAACACCGGUGGCGAAGGCGGCUCACUGGCUCGACACUGACGCUGAGGUGCGAAAGCGUGGGGAGCAAACAGG